AAGUGAGAAUUGAGGUGCCAGUGAUUUAAAUGCACAGCUCGAACACAUAGAACGUAUUCCAAUCUAACUGACCUGUCCAGAGGAGACCAAGGUGUAAUUAGAAAAGGACAUGAUUUAAAAAUAAAGAUGUGGCAACAGGAGCUCUAAUAGUCACCUUGACCUUGAGGAGAAUGGACAGACCUAAGAAAUAGCAGAGAAGACUAUGGGCAUGGUCCCUGACCACCUUCUGGGAACAUGAUUCCAUUCCUACCUCGCAUUACCAACCUCCAGACUUCAAAAUUUGUGAAUUGAAAAUAAAAUUCAUAUUUUGGA